GGAUGGGCAUCCGACAGGCAGCUAAUAGGUACAACAGGAUUUUCAGAAUGAGCAGCUAGUGACAGUCAUGUGAAAAACUAAGUACACUCCCUGGAAAGUUUGUACAUAUUUGGACAGGUGGAUAUGUAAUCUUCACUUCAACACUAUUGACAGGAGGACCUGAGCCCUAGGACCAUGCCCCAGGACUACCUGACAUGAUGACUCCUUGCUGUCCCCAGUCCACCUGGCCAUGCUGCUGCUCCAGUUUCAACUAUUCUGCCUUAUUAUUAUUCAACCAUGCUGGUUAUUUAUGAACAUUUGAACAUCUUGACCAUGUUCUGUUAUAAUCUCCACCCGGCACAGCCAGAAGAGGACUGGCCACCCCACAUAGCCUGGUUCCUCUCUAGGUUUCUUCCUAGGUUUUGGCCUUUCUAGGGAGUUUUUCCUAGCCACCGUGCUUCUACACCCGCAUUGCUUGCUGUUUGGGGUUUUAGGCUGGGUUUCUGUACAGCACUUACAGAUAUCAGCUGAUGUACGAAGGGCUAUAUAAAUACAUUUGAUUUGAUUUGAUUUUGAUUUGCAAGAUCCAUGUUUGGUUCAGCUUAUUUUUUGACAGAUGGCCUCACCUUUUCCUCAAGAAUUCUCUGGUACAAUACUGAAUUCAUGGUUGACUCAAUGAUGGCAAGGAGCAGCAAACCAUAAUGCCACCGCCUCCAUGCUUUGCGGUUGGUAUGAGGUUCUUCUGUUCAAAGGCAGUGUUUUUUUGGUUUUCGCCAAACAUGGCAUCUGGCAUUGCAGCUAAACAACCCCACCUUUGACUGUCCAGAGCACAUUGUUCCUGUAGUUUCGGUCUUUACCCAGGUGUUGUCUGGCAAACAUCAUUCAUAUCUUGAUAUUAUUUUCUGAGAGCAGAGGCUUCGUCCUUCCUGACCUCCAAUGGAGGCCAGUUUGUGCAACAUUGAUUAUGGCAAGUGAGAAAUGUAUAUCCCUUGACGUUAGCCUGGGAUUCUUAGAGACUUCUAUGACAUCUUUUGGUCAGCUCUAGGGCUGAAUUUGGUAGGAUGACCUGUCCUAGGUAAAUUGCCAGUGGUCUGGAAUUUUCUCAAUUUGUAGAUGACACGUUGGACAGUGGAAUGAUGUACUUCGAAUAGCUUGGAAAUGGAUUUGUAACCCUCUCCCAGACUCAUGGUCAUCAAUAGUCUUUCUUCUGAGGGACUUGGAUAGGUCUUUUGAUCUUGUCAUGAUGUGUUACCACACACCCAUAUGGUUACGACCAAACCAGACCAAGUUGCUAAUCUUUAUGGAAGGCUGGAUCCUCCCAACUCUCUAAUCAUUUGCACCUGCUUUGGAGCACCAUAUUCAAAUUAUUGCCGUUUUAUGUGAUGGUAAAGGUAUGGGUCUACUAACUUUUCCACGUAACGAAAUUGCAUUUUUGCUCAUUUUAAUUGCAUAACAUUUUCAACAUUACAUUUUUUUGUGUGAUUUGUUAAAUUGGGUUAAUGAAUUGGGUCAAUGAAUGUGGUUGGAAUUCAGCUAAAAUAUCCAUGUAUCCAAAUAUGUAAAAAAACAAAGACCACUUUCCAAGGGGAGUACUUACUUUUUUCACAUGACUGUAGUUCUAUUUUAAGGGAUGGAGGGUGGUGGUCAGUGAGAGAGCAGGAAGUUAGUAAAGAGGUCACCUGUCUCCUGGGGGUCCAUGCUGUGGUCAGCACUGUGCCCUGGUUGGUCAGUUGGUUCCCAGGGCUGAUGGGAAAAGAAGAAGUAUGAUGAGGAGAUGGAAAGAGAAGUGGAAACUACUGGGCUCUCUCUGGCACCAGCAACGGCCGUGAUGGAACUACUCACCACCAAAGGACCAAGAAGAAGUG